rnacentral:rRNA from 1 species
AUACGGAGGAUCCGAGCGUUAUCCGGAUUUAUUGGGUUUAAAGGGUGCGCAGGCGGCCAUUUAAGUCAGCGGUUAAAUCGUGGGGCUCAACCCCAUUCUGCCGUUGAUACUGGGUGGCUUGAUUGCGGUCGAGGUUGGCGGAAUUCGUUGUGUAGCGGUGAAAUGCAUAGAUAUGACGAAGAACGCCGAUUGCGUAGGCAGCUGACCAGACCGCAAAUGACGCUCAUGCACGAAAGUGCGGGGAUCGAACAGGAUUAGAUACCCUGGUAGUCCGCACAGUAAACGAUGAAUACUUGUUUUCGGCGAUAUAAUGUCGGAGGCAAAGCGAAAGCGAUAAGUAUUCCACCUGGGGAGUACACCGGCAACGGUGAAACUUAAAGGAAUUGACGGGG